GCGCUCGCUGUCCAUCCUUGAACUGUUGCGACGCAGGUCCUCGUUCUGGAAGAAUGGAGGGUUGAGGGACGCAAACAGAGCAAGAACGAGCAGGUCAAGGCAAAGGAAAGCUGAGUGGUACUCACCAGUUUCUUCAGAUGGGAGAAAGUGAUGGUGGUGCAGUUGAAGAGCUCAGGCAGCAACCAGCCCUUCUCAUCGCUACAGUGGCGGAUGGCAGUACCUGUAAAAAUACAACAGCAGGGAGGACAUUUCAACUGACAGACAUACAUGUUCACACUACUGAAGGCUAACAAAAGAUAAUGCCAACUACAUUUAAAAAAAACAAUAAAUAUUUUUCUUGAUAGGUAAUAAUGUAUAGUCUAGAAUUAAACAUUAGAAGUGAUGUAGAGGGCUAGUAGUAAAGAUGCAAAUACAACAUAAUUUGUCAAAAAAUAAAUGGUAAAUGGACUGCACUUA